rnacentral:rRNA from 1 species
CAGAGACUGCAAGCGUUAUUCGGAUUCACUGGGCGUAAAGGGUGCGCAGGCGGCCAAGUGUGUGAGGCGUGAAAGCCCGGGGCUUAACCCCGGAAUUGCACCUCAAACUACAUGGCUAGAGCAUUGGAGAGGGUAGCAGAAUUCAUGGUGUAGCAGUGAAAUGCGUAGAUAUCAUGAGGAGUACCAGAGGCGAAGGCGGCUACCUGGACAAUUGCUGACGCUCAGGCACGAAAGCGUGGGGAGCAAAAGGGAUUAGACUACCCCUGUAGUCCACGCCCUAAACGGUGCACACUAGGUCUUGGCGGAUUCGACCCCCCUGGGCCCAAGCUAACGCGUUAAGUGUGCCGCCUGAGGACUACGGCCGCAAGGCUA